UUAGAGAGUUUAAGAUCAUGGCUCAGGAUGAACGCUGCCGGCGUGCCUAACACAUGCAAGACGAGCGCGAUUAAGUGGAAUCGGAGACUUCGGUCAAAGAGAAACUUAUGAAGCGGCGGACGGGUCAGUAACGCGUGGGUAACCUGCCCCAUACAAAGGGAUAGCCACUGGAAACGGUGAUUAAUACCUUAUAAGUCGGUAGUCUCGCAUGAGACAGCCGACAAAGAUUUAUCGGUAUGGGAUGGACCCGCGUCUGAUUAGCUAGUUGGUGAGGUAACGGCUCACCAAGGCGACGAUCAGUAGCCGACCUGAGAGGGUGAUCGGCCACACUGGAACUGAGACACGGUCCAGACUCCUACGGGAGGCAGCAGUGGGGAAUAUUGCACAAUGGGCGCAAGCCUGAUGCAGCAACGCCGCGUGAGUGAUGAAGGCUUUCGGGUCGUUUUCUCUGUCCUAUGGGAAGAUGACGGUACCAUAGGAGGAAGCCCCGGCUAACUACGUGCCAGCAGCCGCGGUAAUACGUAGGGGGCAAGCGCCUUAUCCGGAAAAUCA
rnacentral:rRNA from 1 species